GGUUCCAUAGUGUAGCGGUUAGUGUGUCUACUUUAUACGCAGAAGGUCCUGGAUUUGUUCCCCAGUGGAGCCA
rnacentral:tRNA from 1 species